rnacentral:tRNA from 1 species
AAAAAGAUAAGCUAAAAAAGCUAAUGGGUUCAUACCCCAUUUAUGAAGGUCCACCCCUUUUCUUUUUA